AUGCGUAUGUUGAGAUGGAUGUGUGGCCACACGAGGAAGGAUCGAGUCCGGAAUGAUGAUAUACGAGAUAGAGUUGGGGUAGCACCAAUUGAGGAGAAGCUUGUCCAACAUCGUUUGAGAUGGUUUGGGCAUAUUCAGCGCAGGCCUCCAGAAGCUCCAGUGCAUAGCGGACGGCUAAAGCGUGCGGAGAAUGUCAAGAGAGGGCGGGGUCGACCGAUUUUGACAUGGGAGGAGUCCGUUAAGAGAGACCCGAAGGAUUGGAGUAUCGACAAAGAGCUAGCUAUGGACAGGGGUGCGUGGAAGCUUGCUAUCCAUGUGCCAGAGCCAUGA
rnacentral:rRNA from 1 species